rnacentral:rRNA from 1 species
AGAGUUUGAUCCUGGCUCAGGUUGAACGCUGGCGGCAUGCUUUACACAUGCAAGUCGAACGGCAGCACGGGGGCAACCCUGGUGGCGAGUGGCGAACGGGUGAGUAAUAUAUCGGAACAUAUCCGGAAGUGGGGGAUAACGUAGCGAAAGUUACGCUAAUACCGCAUAUGCCCUGAGGGGGAAAGGGGGGGAUCGCAAGACCUCUCGCUUUCGGAGUGGCCGAUAUCGGAUUAGCUAGUAGGUGAGGUAAAGGCUCACCUAGGCGACGAUCCGUAGCUGGUCUGAGAGGACGACCAGCCACACUGGGACUGAGACACGGCCCAGACUCCUACGGGAGGCAGCAGUGGGGAAUUUUGGACAAUGGGCGCAAGCCUGAUCCAGCCAUGCCGCGUGAGUGAAGAAGGCCUUCGGGUUGUAAAGCUCUUUCAGGCGGAAAGAAAUCGCACUUAUUAAUACUAAGUGUGGAUGACGGUACCGUCAGAAGAAGCACCGGCUAACUACGUGCCAGCAGCCGCGGUAA